rnacentral:lncRNA from 1 species
UAGAAAGCUAAAAAAUGUUGUGCUUUAUUUCAUGUGAGGUUCUUACAUAGGAAACUUGAAAACAGAAAACAUAUAUAUCGCUAUUGUUACUCCUACUCCUAAAUUAACAAAAUAAAAAUCAUCCGAAUUAUUUACAAUCCAAAAAGUUAAAAGUAAAAGUUCAUUCAAUCCUCUUCCUCCUCCUCCUCCUAAGAACCCAUCUC